rnacentral:rRNA from 1 species
CAGCCGCCGCGGGAAUACGGAGGAUCCAAGCGUUAUCCGGAUUUAUUGGGUUUAAAGGGUGCGUAGGUGGCCUGUUAAGUCAGGGGUGAAAGACGGUAGCUCAACUAUCGCAGUGCCCUUGAUACUGAUGGGCUUGAAUGAACUAGAGGUAGGCGGAAUGUGACAAGUAGCGGUGAAAUGCAUAGAUAUGUCACAGAACACCAAUUGCGAAGGCAGCUUACUAUGGUUUGAUUGACACUGAGGCACGAAAGCGUGGGGAUCAAACAGGAUUAGAUACCCGCGUAGUCCCUGUCUCUUAUAU